AUCCAGUGGCUGACGGGUCCCAAAUAGGACGAAAUGCGCAUCCUGGAU
rnacentral:hammerhead_ribozyme from 1 species